rnacentral:pre_miRNA from 1 species
AGUAGAAUAACUGGGCCAAAUGGUAGUUCCAUUCCUAGGUUUUUGAGGAUUAUCCAUACUGCUUUCCAGAGUGGUUAUACCAAUUUGCAGUCCCACCAGCAAU